rnacentral:lncRNA from 1 species
CCCACGUGAAUUUAGUCGGUGUUAUUUGAUUCUUUACGGUAACGGAUAUAUUAAUAGUAACGCUAACUUUUCACAGCAAAGACCUAACAAAAGAAUUGAAAUCCCCUAAAUCCAAAGAAAAAUGCAUAAAUAGGAAAAUUCAAUAGGUUUUAGGGAAAAAGUGAGAAAUGCCAAAGAAAACUACACUUCCUCAUGAUCCACCAUUAUCUUCUUGUCAACAGAUUGAAUUCCCAUAAUGGAUUCAUGUCCGAUUCAGUUCUUCUAAAGGGUAAUUAGCGUAUACACAUGAAAACACAUGUAUACAUGAAAACCGGUAAUUAACGUAUACACAUGAAAACACCUGCCUUGUUCACUACAUACAAACAAAGAACAAAAUAUAAAUCAAACAAUUGCAUGAAAUUCUUGUAGUUGCUACUUUCUCAAAUCUGAAUAUACAUAAUUUUGAUUGACAUCUACAUGACUAAAUAAAAACACAUAUAUGAUACUAAAAAACCCUAAUCAAAUCAUUCGUCUACAAACCUCACAAUUUUAUUGAGUCAUGGAUCAUCAGUAUGUGAUCCAUCAUUGAUUUAUUACUUCUACGCAAUCACUUUUAUUUGUUAUGUAAGUCUCUGUUCUUUGUUUGAAUGAUGGUAGCGAAAAUAUACCAGAAUCAAAGAAAGUGCUAUGACGAUCGGUAACGGAGGAAACUGAAUGCGGCGAGAGAAAAAUAGAAAAAUGUCUAAAAAAUGGCAGUUAAGGUUACGCUCGGAUAUAUGGCAGUGGUGAGAUGGCAGGAAAAAAUGUAUACUUGUUCAUUUGAAUGGUGUGUCGGUUUCUUAGAAUGUUUUUAAUCGGUGUUGUAUGUAAACAUGUUCGUAUUAAGAUGUUGCGAAUUGAAAGGUCAUGACUUUUGGCUUGAAGGGUUGUGCCUUUUUGAAGGGGUGUGAUAUAUUUAAAAGUUGUCCCUUUUUUUGUAAGAGGUGUGAUAUAUUUAAAAGUGGUUUGAAGGGUUGUGUCUUUUUGAAGGGGUGUGAUUCAAACAAUGGUGUCUUAAGUUAGUUUUUGUAGGGUUAUAUAAUACGACCACAUUACAUCAACCGGGCUUGAGAAAGUUUUUAUAUUAAAAACUAUAUCUGAUUAAUACACUACUAAAACAAUAUAACUUUAGAGAUCAAAGCCGAAAAAUAGAACUAAAGACAAUGAAACAUGAACCUGAGGUCGACGACGUUCAUCUUUCAACAGAGGGCUGGUAAGUCUCGUGAAAGCUGUCUAACGGGAAAUCAAUGAUUGCCCAACUUCCAUCUUCAGGAUUUCGAGCACAAUAACGAAGGAAGUGAAUUUCUCUUGUUUGCACAAGUGGGGAUAGCAAUUGCAAUUCAGCAUACAUCUGUGCAUAGAUUGCCCAACUUCCAUCUUCAGCGAUUAACCACUUUUCUGCGGACAGAAUUAAACUGUAGCGUAAACUUGUAUACUGCAGCGUAAACUGCAGCUUAUACAGUUUCCGCGGACAAUGAUUCUGCGCAGAGCCGUUCCUACGUUUUUAGAGACCCUAAGUGAACUAAGAAAUGGAGGCCCUUUUGAAAAAUUAUCUUUUUCAACAUAUUUAGUCACAAAACAUUGGGACCGACAAUUAUAAACUAUAAAGUUUAUAGUUGGCGAAGUUAAAUUUCAUGUAAAAUGUCCUUUUUACAGGAACCUUACCCUAUGUUUAACUAAAAUUUAUUUUUCUAGCUUUGGGAUGAGGAAUGGUCGAUGGUUGUUGCAGUUAUGUCUAUACUUUAAUUUUGAAUUUGGGCCUUUUUUCCUAAACAAAUUUUAUUUGGGCUCCUAUAAUAAAAAAAUGGUCUAGUUUUGCUUUUUAUUUGGGCUUAAUACAUAUACAAUAUAUAAAACUUUUUAAAAAUUGGAGGCCCUUGAUUUUUGGUGGCCCUAGGCCCGUGCCUAGGUUGUAAAGCCUAACGGGCCGGCUCUGAUUCUGCGCAACAAACAGAUUCUGCGGAUAAGUAAUACAGUGCAGCGAAUGACUUUUAUUCUGCGGAUAUGUUGGGGCUGAACGUAAGAUCCCGUGCAAUUUGAUGGCCAUGGUAGGUUACCAACACCUACAAAACCUAAAUCAAUUUACAUAGUCAAAAUCACAAUUUUACAUUUGAAACUGAAAUUUUUUGAAGCUUACACAAAUUGUUAACAAUAUAAUUAUUUUUGAAGUCUACAAAUUUCUGUUUCUCCCACUAUUAGAUUUUUACUUGAUAUCAUAACCAAAGAACCAAGAUUCAAUUUUUGAGAGAUAAGUCAGGGAUUUACCUCUUUAAAAGUCCAAGUUUGACCAAAAUAAAUUAUUUCACUAAAAUAUGUUUUUAUAUCUUAUAUGUAAGAUUAACACAUCAAUCAUUUAACUUACUACCAGUAUCAUGGAUGGCUAAAUUGUAAACAAAAAGAAUAAAUGCUGGACAAAUAAUGUACGUUAUAUUAGGCACCCUCCAUUAACUUUGAUAAUUACCAAGCCUCUAACUUGAUAAAGGGGAUGGAAGUUUGGGUUAAAACAGUUGGUUUCAAACACUGUUUUAACCGAAAAGUGGUUUCAAAACACUGUUUUAACCCAAAACAGUGGUUUCACUUUUUCUCGGAUUAAAACACUGUUUGAAGUUAGGCAAGCUCGUGCUUGGCCCUUAACCGAAUGACAGUGGAUUAAGUUGUAUCAAUUUUGACUUUGACCAAGAGAGACUGCAGGUGCUGUAACAGUUGCAUGACUCGAUGUAUCACUUUGUGUUUCAGCAACCAUCCAUGAAUCAUCUUCUGAUAUAACUACAUCAUGAAUAUCCUCCGCCACCUCAUUCAAGAUCUUGAGAAAAUCUUGAUCGAUGCGUAAAUCUUGAUUGUAGACUGGGUUGUUACAGAGAGGGCAUU